UACGGGGGGGCAAGCGUUGUUCGGAAUUACUGGGCGUAAAGGGCUCGUAGGCGGCCAACUAAGUCGGAUGUGAAAUCCCCAGGCUCAACUUGGGAACUGCAUCCGAUACUGGAUGGCUUGAAUUCGGGAGAGGGAUGCAGAAUUCCAGGUGUAGCGGUGAAAUGCGUAGAUAUCUGGAGGAAUACCGGUGGCGAAGGCGGCAUCCUGGACCGACAUUGACGCUGAGGAGCGAAAGCGUGGGGAGCAAACAGG
rnacentral:rRNA from 1 species